CCUACGGGGGGCUGCAGUGAGGAAUAUUGGUCAAUGGACGAGAGUCUGAACCAGCCAAGUAGCGUGAAGGAUGACUGCCCUAUGGGUUGUAAACUUCUUUUAUAUGGGAAUAAAACGUUCCACGUGUGGGAUUUUGUAUGUACCAUAUGAAUAAGGAUCGGCUAACUCCGUGCCAGCAGCCGCGGUAAUACGGAGGAUCCGAGCGUUAUCCGGAUUUAUUGGGUUUAAAGGGAGCGUAGGUGGAUUGUUAAGUCAGUUGUGAAAGUUUGCGGCUCAACCGUAAAAUUGCAGUUGAAACUGGCAGUCUUGAGUACAGUAGAGGUAGGCGGAAUUCGUGGUGUAGCGGUGAAAUGCUUAGAGAUCACGAAGAACUCCGAUUGCGAAGGCAGUUCACUGGACUGCAACUGACACUGAGGCGCGAAAGUGUGGGUAUCAAACAGGAUUAGAUACCCGAGUAGUC
rnacentral:rRNA from 1 species